rnacentral:rRNA from 1 species
GAUGAACGCUAGCGGCAGGCCUAAUACAUGCAAGUCGAACGGUGUCUUCGGACAUAGUGGCGCACGGGUGCGUAACACGUAUGCAACCUACCUUACAUUGGGGGAUAGCCUUUCGAAAGGGAGAUUAAUACCGCAUAAGACAGUAGCUGGGCAUCCAGCAGCUGUUAAAGAUUUAUCGAUGUAAGCUGGGCAUGCGUCCAAUUAGCUGGUUGGUGAGGUAACGGCUCACCAAGGCAAUGAUUGGUAGGGGAACUGAGAGGUCAAUCCCCCACCCUGGCACUGGGAUACGGGCCAGACUCCUACGGUAGGCAGCAGUAGGGAAUAUCAGGCAAUGGACGCAAGUCUGACCCAGCCAUGCCGCGUGCUGGAUGAAGGCGUUAUGCGUUGUAAACUGCUUUUAUACAGGAAGAAACGACUCUUGCGAGAGGCAUUGACGGUACUGUAUGAAUAAGCACCGGCUAACUCCGUGCCAGCCGCCGCCGUAA